UUGUAUUGGACCAAUCCUGUGUUGGGGGAUGGACUAUGUCUAUGGUCCCUCCUUAGCAUGGGAUUGGUCCAUAUCAAGACCAAUCCUAUGAAAGGAAAAUGGGCAUCAUCUCUUGCCCAGCAGAGGAUUGGUCAAAUUCAAGACCAAUUCUUCACGGGAAAUAAGAAGGAGGGAACCCUGGAGCAUGCUGGGAGAUAUAGUCCCGUAGGCCACAACCACUGAACACCCACCGGAUCUCUCUAUGUAGACGGAGACAUGGACAGCUAGACAGACAGAAGAAGUGACACACAGAUUAUUUGAUAUGUUAUUCUGUCUAUUCUCCUACUGGUUGGUGUCCACUCUAGAAAAUCAGGAUAAGUGGUUGCAGGCAAGCAAAGCAGGUGAUGGUGUCCCAGUUGGGUUCAGAUGGCUCAGAAGAUGUAUUUGGUUCAAGAUUGGAGGGGGAGUGGCAGACCUCCACUUUGGCCAGUGAGGCUCCAUCAUUUCUUUCCUAACGUCUUCUGAUUCGACUUUGAGACAACCCAGCACUGUGGAAUCUUUGCUGCGACUUCUCCAAUGGACAGAUGUUCCGUUCCAUCCUCUUAACGAGGCUCCAUCAUUUCUUUCCUAACGUCUUCUGAUUCGACUUUGAGACAACCCAGCACUCUGGAAUCUUUGCUGCGACUUCUCCAAUGGACAGAUGUUCCGUUCCAUCCUCCUAACGAGGUAAAGUGCUCCUAUUUUCAACUUUCCUCCUUCAACUCAGAAUGGAGACUAAGUCUGUCCUUUCUAGGUUCUCUACUUAAUGGGCCUUGGCUCCAGGUAAAUAGAAUUCUCAGGAGAAAUAAAUGGCCAAUUUUCCCAUUCUAUAGAAUUAUUUCUCAAGUCAAUGAAAAGGAUAGGAAACAAUCCUUCUCCAGAUUCAGUACGUUGGGGACUCCUCUGAAUAUCUCUUAAAGAUGUCACCUUCAGUAAUACUUCAGAUUCUGGGCUGCAGUAAAUUCUGGUCUAGGCUUUUGGCUCCUAUGAAACCUCUUCAGGCAAAUCUUCCCUGUCAUAGGUUUUUAUCUCUUCACCCCCAUACCAGAACUGGGGGAGGGAGGGGUAAAAUCCCAGGGCAUUCAUAGAAAUGUCUUAGGAAUUUCCCAGGUCUCUUUCUCAAGCUGUCCUGUGCCAAAGAUCAUUAGAAAUAAUGCACACAAAACCAUCAGUUUUCUCCACUUCGAAAGGAAAAUUAGUUCUCCUUAUUCCCUGGUCUUUUCAAACAAAAACUUAUCUGUUGAAAUGGUUGCACUCUGGAAAUUGACCUUCAAAAUGCCCCAAAUCAGGUUAUUGUAGAUGAUGCUUUUCCUUUUUCAAAAACUCAAACUGGUUACAUUUUCUCUCCAAAAACAAAACUUAGGGUUACUAAGGAAGAGGUUCAAAAUUUCCUCUAACUAGGAACACCUCUACUAUUCCCUUCCCUUUUUUCAUUUUUUACUCUAAUUUCCUUAGGGCUGCCAAUUUGUCUUUCUCUUCUCCUUGCCUCAAAGCACUUUGGCCUAUGGCUAAAGCUGCUCUUAGAGAGGAAAUUUGUGGUUCAUAUAAAAAAUGUUCAGGGUUUCCUCAUGAUUAAAAGCAAAGCAUUCCCCACCGUAUUUCAUGUCCUUUGACAACAAUUUAAAGACCAGUCAGGUCUGUAGUUGCCCAUCCUCAAAUGAACAUUCUUUACUCCAGAAAUCACACACACACACACACACACACACACACACACACACACACACACACACACACACACACACACAGUAAACUGAAAAAAAAAUCCACUCCUGCUCUUUACAAAUACCAGCUUGACAAAAAUGUGAAAUGACUGCACUCAAAUAACCAAGUUAAUACCUCAAAGGAAAUGCAUCUUAUUGGCAAUAAUCAAAAUUUACUAUACUUGAUAUACACAAUUUCACACAUUUUUCCUAGCAAA
rnacentral:lncRNA from 1 species